GCCCAGUAACGACCGUGAAGCGGCAACAGCUCAAAUUUGAAAUUUGGCCCCAGGCCCGAGUUGUAAUUUGCAGAGGAUGCUUUUGGCGCGGUGCCUUCCGAGUUCCCUGGAACGGGACGCCAUAGAGGGUGAGAGCCCCGUACGGUUGGACACCAAGCCUUUGUAAAGCUCCUUCGACGAGUCGAGUAGUUUGGGAAUGCUGCUCUAAAUGGGAGGUAUAUUUCUUCUAAAGCUAAAUAUAGGCCAGAGACCGAUAGCGCACAAGUAGAGUGAUCGAAAGAUGAAAAGCACUUUGAAAAGAGGGUUAAACAGCACGUGAAAUUGUUGAAAGGGAAGCGCUUGUGACCAGACUUGCGUCCGGUGAAUCACCCAGCUCUCGCGGCUGGGGCACUUUGCCGGCACAGGCCAGCAUCAGCUCGCUGUCGGGGACAAAAGCUUCGGGAACGUAGCUCUCUUCGGGGAGUGUUAUAGCCCGUUGCAUAAUACCCUUCGGUGGGCUGAG
rnacentral:rRNA from 1 species